GUGCUCACUUCAACAGCACAUAUACUAAAAUUGGAAUGAUAGAGAGAUUAUCACGAACCCUGUGCAAAGAUCACAUGCAAAUUCCUGAAGCGUGCCAUAUUUUU
rnacentral:snRNA from 2 species